GGAUCUCAAGAGGUGCCCUUCCAGCAAGGAGAGUGUGUCCCUGCUGGUAGCUAUGUGCAAUCUAGCUCUUUUUCACAAGAAACGCAGCCGGCACCACAACACAUGUUCCUGAUGCCCAGAAAGGCCUAGGAAAUGUCUUCUAUAUGGGAACAGGCUGCUGGGCAGGGUUAAUGGCAGGCCUACUUCUGUUGGACCUUGUUCUCAUAUUGUGCUGUGUCAGAAUCUGGUGUAACUGGAAGAAGAAAUGGAGCACCUCUGGACAGGAGUUUAAAGACGGUGGCUGCACCUCACUCCCAGACAGCUUGAGCUGCUCCUCUGGCCGUCAUAAGGGCCUGGACAGCCCUCUCACCUGUUCUGUGUAGGGAACCGAAGAUCAGCCAUCUACAAGGAAACCUCCUUUUACCCUGUAGAUCCCACUGCCACCUGCUCUCCCCAUGGGUCUCCCCAAGAUGACUUCAUCCCUUUUUUGAUCUCCCUGCAUCCCAUCCCAGCCAAUUCUCAAGUUCUUCUGGAGACCCCAGGCCCAGCUGAGCACCCUCCAGCCCCUCCUGAGACCAACACAUCCCUUCCUCUGCCCCUGAGCUCCCUGGCCUUGC